CCUAGUUGAUCCUACCAUUAGUUAUAUUCUUGUCUAAAAUAAUAAGUCAUGCUUAUGUAAGUAUUAACAAAUUUAGACUGUGAAACUGUGAAUGGCUUAUUAAAUAAGUUAUAGUUUGUUUGAUGAUAUCUACUACUCGAAUAAUCUUAGUAAUUGUAGAGCUAAUACGUGAAUAAACCCCAAAGUCUGAAAGAGAUGCAUUUAUUAAAUGAAAGGUUGACGCGGACUCUAGUUAUUGCUACGAUGACUCAUGAUAACUCGACGUAUUGAACAACCAUCAUGUCGACGAUGAAUCAUUCAAAUUUUUUCCCUAACAACUUUUGAUAGUAGGAUAGUUGCCUACCAUCCUUACCAUGGUAGUAAUGGGUGAUGAAGAAUUAGGGUUUUAUUUUGGAGAAGGAACCUACCAAAUGGCUAGCACAUCCAAGGAAAGCAGCAGGGGGGAAUAUUUCCCAAUCUUAUCACAGGGAGGUAGUGAUGAUAAAUAAUAAUAUCGGAUCAAUGAGUCAGAUAAUUGGAACAAGUACAAUCUAAAUCCCUUAACGAAGAUCAGUUUAAGGGAAAUUCUGGUGCCAGGAUCUUUGAUAAUUCCAGAUCCAAUAGCGUAUAUUUAAGUUGUUGUUGUUAAAAAUCUCAUAUUUGUACUUUUGGUUAGGUAAGCUGAUUCGUCUAUGGCGUGCACCGGUCAUCUCGUCCCUUUUAUCAAUGAUGCGCUCUGGGCCUUAACUGGCUGGGUUGUGCAUUUGGCAUUAUUACUUUGAAGAAUUAGAGUUCUCAAAUCAUGUCUAUACUAUGUAUACAUUAGCAUGAGAUAAGAUUAUUGGAUUUGGGUCCUAUUACGUUGGCCAUUGGGAUCGUAGUUAUGAUUAACAGGGACUAUUAGGUGCAUUUGUAUUUCAUAGUCAGAGGUGAAAUUCUUGAAUUUAUGAAAGAUGAGAAACAGUGAAAGCAUUUGUCAAGGAUGUUUUCAUUAAACAAGAAUAAAAGUUGGGAGCUUAAAGACGAUAAGUUACCGUCCUAGUCUCAACCAUAAAUGAUAUCGACUAGUGAGAGGUGGAUGUUACUUUUAGGACUCCCCCGACACAUGACAAUGAAUCAAAGUUUUUGGGUUUUUGGGGGAUUAUGGAAAGACUGAAGCUUACAUAAAUUGAUGGAAGGACUCCACAAGGAGUUGAGCCUGUGGCUUAAUUUGACUCAACACGGAGAAACUUACCAUAUCUAGACAUAGUAAGGAUUGACAGACUGAGAGCUAUUUCUUGAUUAUAUGGGUAGUGGUGCAUGGUCGUUCUUAGUUGGUAGAGCAAUUGGUCUGGUUAAUUUCAUUAAUGAAUGUGACCCAAGCCUACUAACUAUUUAUGUAGAGGUAUCCCUUUACGUCCAGCUUGUCAUAGGGACUAUGACCUUUUAGGAUGCGGAUGUUUGAGGCAAUAAUAGGUCUAUAAUUAAUUUAGAUGUUCUUGGCCGUAUGUGCACUACACUGAUAUAUUAAAUAAUUUUAUUCCCUUGGAUGACAAGCCCAGGUAAUCUUUUAAAUUUUAUCGUGAUGGGAAUAAAUCAGUGAACUUAAUGGUCUUCAACAAGGAAUUUCUUGUCAGCGCGAGUUAUCACCUCGCGCUAACUACGUCCCUAUCCUUUAUACACACCGCCCGUAGCUCCUACCGAUUGAAUGAUUCGGUAAAAUUUUUAGAUUUCAGAAAUGUGGGAAAUUUGUUGUCCACUACAUUGCGAAAAGUCUAUUUAACCUUAUUAUUUUGAGGAAGAGAAAGUUGCAACAAGGUUUUUGUAGUAGAACCUGCGGAAG
rnacentral:rRNA from 1 species